UACGUAGGGCGCAAGCGUUAUCCGGAAUUAUUGGGCGUAAAGAGCUCGUAGGCGGUUUGUCGCGUCUGCCGUGAAAGUCCGGGCUCAACUCCGGAUCUGCGGUGGUACGGGCAGACUAGAGUGAUGUAGGGAGACUGGAAUUCCUGGUGUAGCGGUGAAAUGCGCAGAUAUCAGGAGGAACACCGAUGGCGAAGGCAGGUCUCUGGGCAUUAACUGACGCUGAGGAGCGAAAGCAUGGGGAGCGAACAGG
rnacentral:rRNA from 1 species